CUUCAGGGUCAGGACCCAGCUGUUCCAACCACCCCGUGGCAGAGGUGGCCUGACCUCUGACCUCCAGCCCCCUGAGGGCCAAAUGGCCAGUGGGUGCCCAGAACUGUCCCAGGUCUCUGGCUCACUCCAGGAAUCCUCCUCCUAGAAGAUGGAAGCUUCUUUGACCCGGCCAAGCCCAGGAUGGGUCUCUUUCCAGUGGAAAGAACUCAAAGCAUGAAAGAGAUUCCACACAGGGGAGAGUCUCCACUGCUGGGGGAGUCUCAGAGCAAGGAAUGUGGGCAGCUUCCAGGAGUUGACAUAUCAUGGUAAAAAUACUGGAAAGCAAAGACAAAGAGAAAGCUUUGAAAGUUAACAAGAUAAAAAAAUGAUUCAUCACAUAUAAGAGAACCCCAAAUAAGAUGAACACCUGACUCCUCAGAAGAAGCAGUGGAGACCAGAAGACUCAAAGUCAGAAAAACACUGUCAAGCAAGAAUCCGAUAUUUAGGAAAACCACUUUUGAAAAUGAAGGUGAAAUAAAGACAGUUCAAGAUGAACAAAGAUAGAAAAUGUGUUGGCCGGGCACAGUGGCACACGCCUGUCAUCCUGGCACUUUGGGAGGCUGAGGCGGAUGGAUCACCUGAGGUCAGGAGUUCGAGACCAGCCUGACUAACAUGGUGAAACCCCAUCUCUACUAAAUACAUAAAUUAGCCGGGCAUGGUGGCAGAUGCCUGUAAUCCCAGCUACUUGGGAGGCUGAGGCCGGAGAAUCGCUUGAACCCAAGAGGCGGAGGUUCAACCUGCCGAAACAACCUGCCAGCCUGCAUUCCUUCCUGAUAGAGACCACUGGCCACGGAGUGGCUCUACGGCUAUGGAGGAAGCACAGGGAGGGGUUUUGUGUCCUCUGCUGCACCAUUUGACGCUGGAAGCCUGAAAACCCCACCCUCAGAUCACGAUAAUGCCACCAUUUUUUGAACAUGAGUCCCAUGGGGAGGCAUGAAGCUAAAUUGUGCGUUUGUGUGCUCCCCUUUCAUAAAUAUUCAUGACUCCUCUUAUAGCUCAUUGAAUAUGUAUAUUUGGCCACUCCCUUCAGCAUAAAUUCCUGUUCCCCUUGCCCCUCCCAUGAAGUGUCUGUUUUUGACUUCUGACUGGAGGCUACGCUUCCCUGCCUGUCAG
rnacentral:lncRNA from 1 species